GAUGUAAUUGAAUCAAACAAAAUAGAGCAUCGCCAUUAAUAGAACAAAUUAUCCUUUUUCACGAUCACACUUUAAUUAUUCUAAUUAUAAUUACAAUUUUAGUUACUUAUUUAAUAUUAAA